UACUAAAAUCCAUUUCCUCCAAUAAUCUUAGCUUGAUUUCUGUAAAUUAAGGUUGAAACCCAUAUUUCCCCAUCCCCUAUUCUUCUCCGGCGACGCCUCCGUCUUUACACUGUACGAUCAACAUAGUCUUGUUUUCUUAGAUUACAAAGAGAACUCCUUGUUUUGAUUUUUGGUUGGGUAUGAAUAUGAUAUGAAUAUAAUUGUGUGGUUUUUUACUUAAUUUGUUGUUAUUCCGGCGGCGGCGCGGAUGAAUAUGAUAGUUGCUAGUUAAGGAAGAGGACGCGCGCAUGCCCAACUAAUUUAGUUCUUAAUAAGUUAUCGUAUUAAACCGUGGAAUUAGUUCUUCCUCCUGCUAAGCAGCCUAAACCACUUCCAGUUCCUGAUUCAGAGCCUAGAAAGAAGAGAGGUGGUCGGCGAUUAAGGAAGAUGAAAGAAAGGUGAAGGAUACGGAAUGCUGGUGGAAAGCUUCGUGUAUCUGUUGCUUGCUGCUAAAGUGGCUAAGAAGUUUAACUUUCAAAUCCUCAGGCUCAGGCCAACCAGUUUGGAACUACUUAUUUUUCCGAGACUGGAACCUUUUCCAACAUCAACACAACCUAAAACACACUUGCUCCUCAGAUUUGGCAUGAUGCACCAAAUUCGCUUUGUUUCUUCACUAUGCUAAUCAUACACACAAAAUGUAUUUGGCCUAUUCAAUUCAAAAU